UGCAGAAAAAGUGGUUGCAGUGUA
rnacentral:siRNA from 1 species